CUUUUCUUUAGAAAAUAUACAUAAAGCUUGAUUAAUCCAUUUUUAAAUAUGUUUCACAGUAGAAAUAGAAUUGUGCUAGUUGAGCCACUGAGGCAGACAAAAGAUCGGUAUUUGGCCAGAUGUCACAGAGAAGAGAUGAUUCUGUGUUCAAAGAACAAGGUCACCAAAUUGCUCUUCCUUGCUUUUGUUCACUCUAAAAAUUUCGCACUAAUAGAACAUGUGGUUGAUGUACCUUGGGAUCAAAAUUCUUGCAUUUCUCGGCAUCACAUAUGCAUAAAAAAUACAUUUUGCCCAAAGAUAGUUUGUUCAUAUAAGGCUGAAGUGUCAAAUAAGUGGUGCAGAAAUUAUAGGAUUAUAUUAUAAUAUUUUAUCAUGGGGUAAUCAAAGAAGACAGAUAUUAAUCCUUCAAGUGCUUUGUGGAAGCUAUUUAGCUUUUCUUUCUUUCUUUUUUUAAUUGUAAGGAUUCCAAUUCCACUAUGAGGCAAAAUUUGAAGGGCGAUGCUUUACUUUCUUUCAUAAUAGUUGUUUGAAAGUUCUAAUUUUAAUCUCAUUGAGUUUUAUAUUUUGAGGCAAUAUAUAUAAAUCUUUUGAGGCUAUAUAUAUAUAUAUAUAUAAAUCUCAUUGAGUUUUAUAUUUUGAGAACAAUAAACUCUUGUUUUAGGAGCAACAACAGUGGCUGGUUUAAUUUUAUCCUAUCUUUUUGUUCCCUUUAGCUGAGAGAGAGGGAGGGAGGGAGAGAGAGGGAGAGGGAGAGAGAGAGACAGAGAGAGAGAGAAUACAAGUGGUGUGAUGAGUAGAAUAAUAGAAUCACAGAAUUUCAAAAUUAGAGGGGACCUUGAAGACCAUCUAAUCCUUUUUAACCAGAUGCAGAGAUCUUCUCUAUAAUACCUUUACACAGCAAUAAUUCAUGUAUGAUAAAUUGAGAAACUCACUGUUAAUAUAACUUCCUUGAACUGGGCUAUCAGCCUUUUUUACUUCCUUAUGCUGGUUAGCAACCUGCUAAUUGCUAUGACUAUUUCAAGCCUAGAUAAAUUUUUGGUUAGCUGGCAUAAAAGAUGGGUCAAAUAUUUUGACUGCAAUAGAUAACAACCAAAAUGAGAGUUAAAUAAAGUACACCAGAGAUUCCAGAGUUGGAACCCUGUUAUCUGAAAAGAAAUACCUUCCAUAAUCAGAAGCAUUAAGUCAGCCAUUAUAUUGUCUCCAGCUUUUCAGUCCACACUUACAUAGCACCCCUCAUUCAUAUUCUUAUUUAUGCACCUGUUUGACCUUGGAGAGACCUCUAAAUUGCUUCCGAAUCUUUGUUUACCAGUUUUAAAUGGAAGAUGAUAAUCCCUAUAUUAUAGUUCUCAUGGGGUUGUGAGGAUAAAAUAUGUGAAAUUCAAAAAUGUUAAUGAGCUCUGCAAGUAAUAUACAAACACCAUCUGCAACCAAAACCUAUAUUCUUCAAAGAUUAGAAUAUUUUAUAAUCUUUGAAAAAAUUAGAGGAUUAGCAUAAUUGUUUUAUGAAUAGGGAGUGCCUUUUCACAUACAUGACCUAUUAAUCAGCUUGAAAGGUUGUUCUGCAUCAUCAGCAAAGUGCCCAAUUAUUAGUAGUUAAAAGGUUCAGAAGAUGAUGGGAAUCGCUAUUUAUUUUAUAGUCUACUAACCUCCCUCAGAGCUCAUACUCUUUCUAACGCGACAGCUGGUUUUUGGGAAAACAAAGCUGAUCCAUGAGGGUACAAGGUGAAUGGCUAAGGAAGUAAUUUUGCUAUGGAAAAGAAAGUUGGAGGAAGAGUAGAACCUAGAAGAGUAGAACAGAGAAGUGAAGAUGUCUCGGGCAGCGGAAGAUAUAAAAUGGUCUGUAGCCUCUGUGGUCCAGAAGGUUUAUAUUAGUCUUUUAUUAUGUGAUUCAUUAUUUUUCUCAAGAGCAUAGACAUAUGGGAUUGCCCAUAAGUAUCCAUAGAUGCAAUUAUAUGAGAGGAAUCUUUUCUGAUGGGUCUGCUACAUUUCAGUAUUAGACAUUCCCCAUAAUUUAGUUAGGAUUGCAUUUAUAUAUUUCUAAUAUGCUGCAUACAUAAAGAAAGAGAGGGAGCGAUCCUUGUCAUGACUUUCAAAAGUCUGCAUUAAUUCAUUCCUUUUCCCACCUAAGUGGGUAUUCUAAUGCUUACCUUAAGAUCGUUGUGAGAAUUAGAUAUAAUUUAUGGCUGUGUCUGACAAUGCUUUGCUCAUAGUAGAUACUUAUUUAAUGGUAUGCUUUUUAUUGGUAUUAAACAUCAUGUCAUUAGUUCAUUUGUCACCCAUAGGGACUAUCAGAUCAGGAUUUGUGGACAUGGGGAAGCUGUUUCUUUUCUUCUGUACUGCUUGACUGUUGGCUUUGAGAAAACCCAUUCUCACGAGGGAAAAGACACUCUUACUUGAAACACCCGGCCAUGGGAAAUGACAAUUAUCUCAGUCUCAGAGUUGAAGCAUUUCUAAUCUCCAAUGCUGGAGGUUGUUUUUCAAGAACAUACAAUAUUUUUAUAAUUGUUUUUCUAAGGAGACAGGCUCAUAGUUUUUUAAAUCACAUGGUUUUCCUGGCUAUUUAGUGCUGUACCAUAUUAUCUUUCUUUCCCUUUCUUAUAUGCUUUCUCUUAAAAUUAUAGAAGUGGAAGAAAUACAUCUUGCUGUGACAAAAGCUUAAACAAUAACCCGUACUGAUACAUAUUAUUGAGAAUGCAGUGAUCAAAUACAAAGGCCACUGUUUUAUAUAUCAAGCUGUACAAUACUAUAUGAAAAAUAGUUCAUGAUAUCAAGUUCAUGGCAUAGCAUUAAAAUAGGCCAAAAUAUGUAAAAACUAGAGCUUAUAAUACAUAGCCAUAUAACACAAAAUGAGAUAUUAAAGAAUAGAAUGUAUGAUUUUAUGAGCAAAGUCAUUUCUAGGUCCUGGGAGACUGCCCCUUGCACAAUGCUUUUCUUGGUAUCCCAAGUCCCACCUCUUCCGAAGAAUCUCUUCUAUUGGCUUUUCAUGAUGCUAUUUCUUCUUCCUCCCUGAUAGUCUAUGGUCAUGGCCGUUCUCUAAGAGAUAGAUAGCAAAGGAUUUAUUAUAGUAAUGUCUCUACAUUUCAAAAUGGUUUCAAUUAUCAUAUUACCCGUGUGUACAAAGAGUUCUCUACUUGGUUACCUUCUUCUAUUCACACAUUGACUUGGCUUAGUGUAUUGGACUCAUUGUCAUAAUUAAAACCACAAUUAAUUUGACCUUGAGAAAAUAAAUUGUCAAAGCCUGUGAUGUUAGAGUUAGGAGGGGAGGAACCAUCAAAAUUCACAACCCUUUUAUUGUGAAGCUAACGAAAUAGAAGCCACAGAGAUGGAUUAAUUUGUCUAUAUUUAUAAGUUAAAAUCCUGAUCCUUUUCUAGUACUCUUUCCAAAUGCUUAGUGUUGUUGAAUAGAAAUCUAAGAAAGAUGGCUAUGGCAAGAUUUUAGCCUUGAAAUUAGCUGGGGGAAAUGUAAUCAUUAGAAGUGACCUCUAUGUCAUUUGAGAAUAGAACAAAACUGCUUUUAAAAAUGUGUCAGAGCAUUAAAAUUUGCCUGCAUUUGACUUUCUAAAGCUGUUAGUCAAAUAGAUAAUGAAAGAGGGUGCUAGGCUAGUUGAAGUAAGUUAAUCCAUUUCAGGUCGUUUACUGAAGGUCAUUUGGUUAGAAGAUUAAAAUAGAAAGUUUACAAUUAGGAAAUGCUGAAAUGUUAGAAUAUUAUAAGGAAAUAGCUGCUUUUUAUUGUCUUUAACAUCUUUACAGAUACACUGGCUCUUAAAAUAGGUUAAAUAUCAUUUGUGGAGGCAAUAUUUAAUUUUUCUGUUAUUGAUAUUGUCAAACAAAGUCUCACUUUCUAUAUUCUGGCCUGAGGCAAGUAAAAGAGAAAUUGAAAUAGAAAAGAAGAUUAACUUUGUUUUCAGCCAGAAAAUGACAAAAAGAAACGAGGGAGAUAGACAGCAAGUGGAGGUCAUGAUUUUAAGGUACUAUUCGCUAGCUGCUCUGGGUCUUGUGGAAAAAGGUUAAAUGUGUUUUAAAUGUAUGUAAGUGUUUAGCUAUUUAUUCCUCACAGUGCAGUGUCCUCUUGCCAAGGAGAAGUGAUCAAGUGGCAAAUGUUGGGGGAAAGCCACUAGAAAUUGAACUCAAUGAUGUCUUUCUCUGAGCUGCGGAAUUGUUUGUCUUUAUGCCAAGUCACAACGUGGACUCUGAACUGCAGCAAGGGAGAAAUCUUCAGUUUGAAUACAUAGGUGCUUUUCAAACCAUUGAGUUUAUGAUGCAAGUCUGUGACUAGGCAGGGCAGGUAUUUCCUGUUCUCUAAAAGAUAGUGCUAGUUCUGCUCUAUUGCUGCCAUUUCUAUAGCAAUACCUGGGUGGAAUUCCCUCCCUGCUUAACCCUGCCUCCUCCACUCCCUGCCUCUGAUCUAUGCGCACUUAGAAACACAGGAUAUCCUGAUUAUCCUGUUUCAGUAUUUCUCAUAAUGGACACAUAUUGUUUAUUCUAUUUUUAAAUGACGGGAACACAAAUCUCUACCCAGUAGUUGUGGUCGAUGAUCCAUUUAGUCAAAUGAAGAAAGGAAAAUUUAUAUGUAUUCUGUACCUUAUUGGAAGUCAAAGUAAAACUUUAUGAUUGUGGUAAGUAUUUUCAGUAACAGUAUAUAGCAUUUCCUCCUUUCUUUUAAUAAUAAUAGAUAAACAAAUUUAAAAUGCCAAAAAAAUAUGAUGAAAUUAAAAAUCACCUGUAAUAUCUUAAUCACAUCAAAUAAAAGUACUCACUGUUAUUAUUUUGAUAUUUUGUUUCCCCCACAGUUUGUGCGUGCGUGUGCAUAUAUGUAGUGCAUUAUAUUGCUUGAGAUAAAUGUAAAUGUGCAUUUUUCUUCCUAACUUUGGUGUUAUAUAAUGUAUUUACUUGUUUGUUUAUUGUCUGAUUCCCAAGGCCAGGGCUUUGUCUGUAUCAUUACUGCUGUAUCCCUGACAGCUGGAAGGUUCUUCCAAGUGUGCCCUGCCAUUUAGAUUUGCUGCAUCUCAAGCUCAACUCCAGCUCUUUCUACUUAUGUGCUAUAGAUCUGUCUCACCGUCUUCAUUUCAUGUCAUUUUAUUAUAUUUUCGUAUAUCACCUAGAUGUUAGUUAAGAACAUUUUUAAUGCUAGUAUAAUAUUUCUUUGUGGGGAUGUGCCAAUAUUCUUGUGCUCAUUUUCUUGUUGGACAUUGAAAACAUUCCUAAUGUUUCUUAAUGUAUUAGGUUGGUGCAAAAAUAAUAAUAAUUCUGGAUUAUACAUUUCAUAUAUAAAUCCUUACAUAUCCAAUUAUUCUCUUAGAAUAGAUUGCUAGAAGAGAAUUGCUGUGUCAAAGGCAACAAACUUUAAAAUGGUCUGUCUAUUAUCAAGUUGCUUUCCAAAGUGGAUAUAUUAAUUUCCUCUCCCAAUAGCAAUAGCUAAGAAUACUUAUAGUGUUGGGUGUCAUUAUUUUAAAAAAUCCUGGUUAAUUGAAAGGCAAAAAUUACACCUCAUGGUUUGAAAAUGCAUUCAUUUGAUCACCAGUGAGGCUCAAUACUUCCAGCAUUUUUAGCAGCUACACGUGGUUACCAUUUUGGAGCAUGAAUAUUGGUGAUUCAUCAGAAUUCUUUGUAUAUUAUGGGUAUUGAUUCUUUAUCUAUUAUAUUAUUUGUAAAAAGUUUGUCCCAGUUUUUCACAUUACUCAAUUUUCUUUAUGAUCACAGCUUACAAAACUUGUGGUUUUGUUUCUAUAAUUUGUAGUUAGAUAUAAUAAUCAUUUUUUAUUUCUGUAUUGCUAUUAUGAUCUGCAAAUUUUUACAUCCCUAGAUCAUUUUCAUCUCACCCAUAUUUUCUGUUUGUUUGUUUUUUCUGGUUUCUUUUUUACAGCCCACUCUUUACCUUAUCUGGAAUGGAUUUUUUUUUUAAACCUGAUAUAAUAUAGGCUCUUGACUUUCCCCCAAUUUUCUCAAUAUCCCAGUAUUAGCAAAUAGUCAUAUUACUCCUUAGUUUAUGAUACUUACAUUAUAUUAUAUUGAUGAUACUUUUUAUUUAUUAUAUUAUAUUUAUGAUACUUACAAUAUAUUACAUUGAUACUUGUCAUUAUAAUAAUAAAAUUAAUGUAUUUUUAUGUUAUAUACUAAGUUGUAUUUCAAGGCAAUCUAUUCCACUUGCCUUUUUAUAGAUAUAUCAACCAAUUACUAUAUAAUUUUAUUAAAAGUUUGUAAUACUCUUUUUUAAUCUGAAGGGAAAAGUAGCCUCAAUUAUUAUUAUUUUUCUCUGAAUAAGUCAACAUUGAGUAUAACUUGUAUUUGCAUAGAGGUCGUUUUUACUCUUAGCUGUUCAAGUGGAUGAAGAGAAUCUGUAUAGUGCUUUUAAAUUUAAAGCUCAUGGUGUUUCAAAUUAUCUUGGUAGUGUUAUCUCUCAUAAUUAAAUCUGCUCUAUAUAAAGAUAUAG
rnacentral:lncRNA from 1 species